CCCUAUGGAUUCAGUUCUGC
rnacentral:miRNA from 1 species